AAGUCGUAACAAGGUAACCGUAGGUGAACCUGCGGUUGGAUCAUUAAUGAAAUGUUUCUAAUUGAGGGUACUGUUGAUUGCUUCACGGCGAUCCAGUCCUUCUUGACCCAUACCUGUUGAACUGUUUUGACCUGCCUAAGGAUCCUUUUGGACCUAGGUAGUCUCUUGUCUCUGGCCUAGGCGAAAGCUUGGGCCUCGGCAUAAGACUAGCUAUGGGCUGAUUGGCUCCUAAGCAACAUAUAAAAACACCCUUUAUUUAAAGACCCUUUAUAAGGACUUUUUGACUUGAGCAAUCAAGGACAUUAGACCAACUAAAGAAAAACAACUUUUGACAACGGAUCUCUUGGCUCUC
rnacentral:misc_RNA from 1 species